rnacentral:rRNA from 1 species
UCCUACGGGAGGCAGCAGUGAGGAAUAUUGGUCAAUGGGCGGGAGCCUGAACCAGCCAUCCCGCGUGCAGGAUGACGGCCCUACGGGUUGUAAACUGCUUUUCCGCGCCAAGAACGGCCCCGACGUGUCGGGGUUUGACGGUAGCGCGGGAAUAAGCACCGGCUAACUCCGUGCCAGCAGCCGCGGUAAU